GCCAAUAACCUGGGCAGAGGAGACAUAGACAGGUUUUAGUGUUUCCGGGCUUGGGGCCAGGAAGAGAAGCCACCACCACCACCGUGGAUCAGAUGAGCUCAUAAAAAUGUGGCCCUGAAGCCUGGCCAGUGGAUUUAAGAGGAGCCCAGAGAAACACAGAUCCAGUGGGGAACCCUCAAGAUGCUCUGAUGACCAGCAGGAGCCUGAUUUCCUAGGGACUAGAGGCUGCUUAUUUCUUCUCCUGCCCCUGCUAACUGUGCCAGGUGCCUGCUGUGUGUGGAUAAAAGGGCCCCACACACCACAGAUAUCUCUCCCCCUUCCUCUCCCCUUCUCCUCCUCUGCUCUCAUUUCUCUCAACCUUACCUCCUGUGUGUUUCCAUGUCUCUCUCUGCCUGUCUGCCCUUUUCCCUCCUUACUGUUUCAACUCUGAGGCACCUUUCACUCUCCUCUCCCAAAUAAACCUCUUACACGAGA
rnacentral:lncRNA from 1 species